UUAUCUUAUAUUGUCUUACGCAGGUAGAAAUGUAGCAAAAAAAAGGGAAUAAAGCACCACAUAAGAAACACAAUGUCUUAUUUGAAGGGACGGUGAAUUGCCAAGUCAUUUAAUUUUAUCGAAUCAGUAUUCAUAGAACCGUAAAGGUCCCCGUUGAGUUAAGUGGCAUUAUUGAAUACAUGUGUGGAUCUUAACUUAUUAACGAUACAAAUUUAAAACCUGUUAACGU